rnacentral:rRNA from 1 species
GGCGAACGGGUGAGUAACACGUGAGCAACCUGCCCUGGACUCUGGGAUAAGCGCUGGAAACGGCGUCUAAUACUGGAUAUGAGCUCUCAUCGCAUGGUGGGGGUUGGAAAGAUUUUUUGGUCUGGGAUGGGCUCGCGGCCUAUCAGCUUGUUGGUGAGGUAAUGGCUCACCAAGGCGUCGACGGGUAGCCGGCCUGAGAGGGUGACCGGCCACACUGGGACUGAGACACGGCCCAGACUCCUACGGGAGGCAGCAGUGGGGAAUAUUGCACAAUGGGCGGAAGCCUGAUGCAGCAACGCCGCGUGAGGGAUGACGGCCUUCGGGUUGUAAACCUCUUUUAGCAGGGAAGAAGCGAGAGUGACGGUACCUGCAGAAAAAGCGCCGGCUAACUACGUGCCAGCAGCCGCGGUAAUACGUAGGGCGCAAGCGUUAUCCGGAAUUAUUGGGCGUAAAGAGCUCGUAGGCGGUUUGUCGCGUCUGCUGUGAAAUCCCGAGGCUCAACCUCGGGCCUGCAGUGGGUACGGGCAGACUAGAGUGCGGUAGGGGAGAUUGGAAUUCCUGGUGUAGCGGUGGAAUGCGCAGAUAUCAGGAGGAACACCGAUGGCGAAGGCAGAUCUCUGGGCCGUAACUGACGCUGAGGAGCGAAAGGGUGGGGAGCAAACAGGCUUAGAUACCCUGGUAGUCCACCCCGUAAACGUUGGGAACUAGUUGUGGGGACCAUUCCACGGUUUCCGUGACGCAGCUAACGCAUUAAGUUCCCCGCCUGGGGAGUACGGCCGCAAGGCUAAAACUCAAAGGAAUUGACGGGGACCCGCACAAGCGGCGGAGCAUGCGGAUUAAUUCGAUGCAACGCGAAGAACCUUACCAAGGCUUGACAUACACCAGAACACCGUAGAAAUACGGGACUCUUUGGACACUGGUGAACAGGUGGUGCAUGGUUGUCGUCAGC